rnacentral:SRP_RNA from 1 species
GCCAGGUGCGGUGGCGCAUGCCUGUAGUCCUAGCUACUCAGGAGGCUGAGGGUGGAGAAUCCCUUGAGUUCAGGAGUUCUGCGCUGUAAUGCGCUAUACUGAUCUAGUGUCCGCACUAAGUUUGGCAUCAAUAUGGUGACCUCCCAGGAGUGGGGGACCACCAGGUUGCCUAAGGAGGGGUGAACCGGCCCAGGUCAGAAACGGAGCAGGUUAACACUCCCGUGCUGAUCGGUAGUGGGAUUGCGCCUGUGAAUAGCCACUGCACUCCAGCCUGGGCAACACAGUAAGACCCUACCUCU